GGCCUGGAGGGAGGGACAAUCCGGAGAUGGACGGGGGGUAUCUGGAGUUGGCCUGGGCACGGCGGUAUGGAGGACACGGGUACCUGGAGGCUGCUCGGGGAACGCGAGGGAGGUUAGCUGGAGGCGGCCCAGGGGCGAGGAGAGGACCGGGGGGAUCUGGAGGCGGCGCAGGCACCGAGGGAAUGGACGAGAGGUUGGAAACCAUCUGAAGUGGAAUAAUGCAGAGUGAUCAGUUGCUGAACCCAGAGAAUAGACAAUCUCAUAAAGAUGCUUCUAAAUAUAAAAUAGAGAAGAGGCUGUUAUAGAUGAUGCAUAGAAUAGCAGUUGAUUCGUACUGAUUCAAAAUAAUGGAAAUUAGUAAAAAUAAAUUUAAGUUGAUGGAAGCCUAUUGACUUCAAUAAGAUAUACCAACAGGUAACUUAAUUGGAAAUCAAUGAAAAGUAAGUACUGCAUUGACUUAAAUAGAGAAAUGUUAAACGGCAUUUUGGUGUAAUAUAGUAGCAAUCCUCAUUAGCAAAAUUGAAAUAUAUUAGAAUGCCCAUUAAUGAAUGCCAUCCAUUAUAUAAAAUAGUAAAUAUCCUGGA